rnacentral:lncRNA from 1 species
ACAAAGUUAAAUUGGUCUCAAGAGAGAAAUUGGGUUAGAUAAAUACCACAAGACAAUAAGCACGAGGCACCCAUAUAUAUAGCUAAGACUUUUCGAUUUGAAUGCAAAACACAAAGGAAAAACCUGAACAGAGAAAAAAUCUCAUUACUCCCACCAAGGAAAUACUCUUCUUUUCUGCCUAAACCUAUGCACAACCUUUUUUUUUUCUUUUUGAAAUAAAAAGUGUAUAAAUCUAUUACUAUAAGCACCAAAGGGUGCAAAUCCAUUUACAAAAAUGUUUAAAAAUUAAUCAUCAAUUCUAUCAAGUCACCAAAAUCCUCCAUAAAGCUAUGCACAAAUUAGAAUAACCUUAAAUGGAAAAUCAUGACUCAAGGCACCUACCGGCCAUGAAAGAUUAUUGCAAGCAAUUAAAUAUUUCUAUGUUCAUAAUGUAUAUACUGUAACGACCCCAGAAUUUAAAUGAAAAUGUAUGUAUUCAUAUUCUUAAAUGCGAAAGCGUAAUAAAAAUUUUCAUUAACAUCACUAACACAAUAACCAAAAACGUACUCAAAAUAUGAAAGAAUAAGCUAAUUAAAAGAGAUACUCGAAAUAAAAACUAUAAAUAGAGCUAUAAGGUCCUUAGACGUUUAACUCGCCGUCUUCCUGCGGAACGGGCUCGGGAACCACGUCUUCCUAAUCUGAAAUGGUUAAGUAAGGAAUGAGCUAUACUACCCCAAUAAAGAUAUCACACUAUCUCACUACCACAGAAGUAAAGGUCGGUAGAAAACAAAAACGACCAAUGGAGCAUAAUUUAUAACAAACUCAUUUAUAACAUAAAAACCUUUACCGUUCACUUAUC